rnacentral:rRNA from 1 species
GACGAACGCUGGCGGCGUGCUUAACACAUGCAAGUCGAACGAAGUGGCGAACGGGUGAGUAACGCGUAAUCAACCUGCCCUUCAGAGGGGGAUAACUACUGGAAACGGUGGCUAAUACCGCAUACUGAAGGAGGGGAUUGCGUCUGAUUAGCUAGUUGGAGGGGUAACGGCCCACCAAGGCGAUGAUCGGUAGCCGGUCUGGGAGGAUGAACGGCCACAUGGGGACUGAGACACGGCCCAGACUCCUACGGGAGGCAGCAGUGGGGGAUCUGCCGCGAUGGAAGAAAGUCUGACGGAGCAACGCCGCGGGAGUGAUGACGGCCUUCGGGUUGUAAAGCUCUGUUAAUCGGGACGCGGUACCGGAAUAGAAAGCCACGGCUAACUACGUGCCAGCAGCCGCGGUAAUAC